rnacentral:rRNA from 1 species
AGCAGCCGCGGUAAUUCCAGCUCCAAUAGCGUAUAUUAAAGUUGUUGCAGUCAAAAAGCUCGUAGUUGAAUUUCGGGGUCAGCAGGUUUGUCGUGCCUAUGGUAUGAACUGGCUUCGCUGGUCUCUCCUUUCUGAAGAACUGUAAUGCCAUUAAUUUGGUGUUGCAGGGACACAGGACUGUUACUUUGAAAAAAUUAGAGUGUUUAAAGCAGGCUAACGCUUGAAUACAUUAGCAUGGAAUAAUGAAAUAGGACGUUCGAACCUAUUUUGUUGGUUUCUAGGAUUGACGUAAUGAUUAAUAGGGAUAGUUGGGGGCAUUAGUAUUCAAUUGUCAGAGGUGAAAUUCUUGGAUUUAUUGAUGACUGACUACUGCGAAAGCAUUUGCCAAGGAUGUUUUCAUUAAUCAAGAACGAAAGUUAGGGGAUCGAAGACGAUCAGAUACCGUCGUAGUCUUAACCAUAAACUAUGCCGACUAGGGAUCGGAUGAUGUUAAUUUUUUAANGANUCA